GCCACGGCAGGGAAACAGGAGGCAAACCAGGUGAACAGAAACACCGAAACGAGAAAGACUGAUGCAUCUGUCUGUUGUGAGUCGUCUGGAUAUUUUUUUUGGAAGGAUUCUCUUUGAAUUGCCAUGUCGGGAAGACAACCUGUCAUUCUUCAAGAACAACUCUGAAAGGAAAAGUAAGAAGUGUCCUGUAACCAAGAACAAGUUUUUCACAAAAUGGAGAAGACAGCGCUGUAGAUAUCUCUGUUCUCCAGAAUGCUGGCACCUUCUGUUUUUCUGAAGAAAAACUUUUAAAAGGAUUGCUCCACUGACACAUGAAGCAAUCAUUUUUAAUGCCCCGACCUUUUUUGACUGUGGAAAAAAAGAGCAAAGGCACAAGAAAAGCAGGUGAAUAUCGUGGAGCCUCAUUCCUGAGAAAAUAGAGGGAAAGGAAAUGAAAUGGUGCGAAAAAGAGAAUUCAAGUGGGAGCCUGCAACAAUCAGGAAAUGAAUCAAGAGACGAGUGUGAUAAACAAGCCAAUUAUUAUUUUGAAAGUGAUUUUAAGCACCACGUGCUGCAAAAAAAAACAAAAAACAGGGAACAAGGAAACAGCCAGGUAAGCCUAAAUAUCUGAACUGUGUGUCUUCUUCUAAUUGUGUUACAAUUGUGGUUUAGAUUUAUACCUCUACAAAAUAGCUUUAUAAAAGGUCUUUCCCAUGUUUUGUCCCCGCAUGAAUGUAGCAGUGGACAAUAUAUUGGAAACAAUUGAGUAGCAGCGAUGAUCAUAUUUUCAUUUAUGUUUCUGUCCGCAUCAAAACACAAAUAAGAAUUUAAUAAACUCUUUGCUGAAGCUUAAACACAGGA